rnacentral:rRNA from 1 species
UUCGGGACGCUGGCGAGUGGCGAACGGGUGCGUAACGCGUGGAAACCUGCCCCGAGGUGUGGGACAACAGUUGGAAACGACUGCUAAUACCGCAUAAGCCUUACGAGGGAAAGGCGCAAGUCGCCUUGGGAGGGGUCCGCGUCGGAUUAGCUAGUUGGCGGGGUAAAGGCCUACCAAGGCGAUGAUCCGUGGCUGGUCUGAGAGGAUGAUCAGCCACACUGGGACUGAGACACGGCCCAGACUCCUACGGGAGGCAGCAGUGGGGAAUAUUGCGCAAUGGGAGAAAUCCUGACGCAGCGAUACCGCGUGGGUGAAGAAGGUCUUCGGAUUGUAAAGCCCUUUCAGCAGGAAAGAUGAUGACGGUACCUGCAGAAGAAGCCCCGGCUAACUCCGUGCCAGCAGCCGCGGUAAUACGGAGGGGGCGAGCGUUGUUCGGAAUGACUGGGCGUAAAGGGCGCGUAGGCUGCUCUGCAAG